AUCCAGCUGACAAAUCCUAAAUAGGACGAAACGCGCAUCCUGGAG
rfam:Schistosoma rodhaini strain Burundi genome assembly, scaffold: SROB_scaffold0023823